UACGGGGGGAGCAAGCGUUGUUCGGAUUUACUGGGCGUAAAGGGCGCGUAGGCGGCGAUCCGAGUCAGAUGUGAAAGUCCUGGGCUUAACCUGGGGACUGCAUUUGAUACUGGAUUGCUUGAAUUCGGGAGAGGAUAGCGGAAUUCCCAGUGUAGAGGUGAAAUUCGUAGAUAUUGGGAAGAACACCGGUGGCGAAGGCGGCUAUCUGGACCGAUACUGACGCUGAGGAGCGAAAGCCAGGGGAGCAAACGGG
rnacentral:rRNA from 1 species